rnacentral:rRNA from 1 species
UACAGGGGGUGCAAACGUUGCUCGGAAUUAUUGGGCGUAAAGCGCGCGUAGGCGGCUACUUAAGUCGGAUGUGAAAGCCCUUGGCUCAACUGAGGAAGUGCACCCGAAACUGAGUGGCUAGAGUACGAAAGAGGGUCGCGGAAUUCCCGGUGUAGAGGUGAAAUUCGUAGAUAUCGGGAGGAACACCGGUGGCGAAGGCGGCGACCCGGGUCGAUACUGACGCUGAUGCGCGAAAGCGUGGGGAGCAAACAGG